UAUGGUUGUAAACUGCUUUUGUACCSGAAUAAACCCCUUUACGUGUAGAGGGUUGAAUGUACGGUAAGAAUAAGGAUCGGCUAACUCCGUGCCAGCAGCCGCGGUAAUACGGAGGAUCCGAGCGUUAUCCGGAUUUAUUGGGUUUAAAGGGUGCGUAGGCGGCCUAUUAAGUCAGGGGUGAAAGACGGUAGCUUAACUAUCGCAGUGCCUUUGAUACUGAUGGGCUUGAAUGUACUUGAGGUAGGCGGAAUGUGACAAGUAGCGGUGAAAUGCAUAGAUAUGUCACAGAACACCAAUUGCGAAGCAGCUUACUAAAGUAUGAUUGACGCUGAGGCACGAAAGCGUGGGGAUCAAACAGGAUUAGAUACCCUGGUAGUCCACGCCCUAAACGAUGAAUACUCGAUGUUGGCGAUAUACGGCCAGCGUCUAAGCGAAAGGKUAAAGUAUUCCACCUGGGGAGUACGCCCGCAAGGUGAAAACUCAAAGGAAUUGACGGGGGCCCGCACAAGCGAGGGAGCAUGUGGUUUAAUUCGAUGAUACGCGAGGAACCUUACCCGGGCUUKAAAGUUAGUGAAUGAUCCAGAGACGGAUCAGUCCUUCGGGACACGAAACUAGGUGCUGCAUGGCUGUCGUCAGCUCGUGCCSUGAGGUGUUUGGGUUAAGUCCCSCAACGRGCGCAACCCCUAUGUUUAGUUGCCAGSACGUUAAGGGGGGGG
rnacentral:rRNA from 1 species